rfam:Callithrix jacchus chromosome 5, whole genome shotgun sequence
GGGAAACGGAAUGAGGGGCCAGCCCCAGGCCCCCAAAAACAAAUCCAUGGGGCA